rnacentral:rRNA from 1 species
CCUACGGGAGGCAGCAGUGGGGAAUUUUGGACAAUGGGCGAAAGCCUGAUCCAGCAAUGCCGCGUGAGUGAAGAAGGCCUUCGGGUUGUAAAGCUCUUUCAGUCGAGAAGAAAAGGUUGUGACUAAUAAUCACAACUUAUGACGGUACCGACAGAAGAAGCACCGGCUAACUACGUGCCAGCAGCCGCGGUAAUACGUAGGGUGCGAGCGUUAAU